CAUGUCUCAGUACAAGCUAAAUUAAAGUGAAACCGCGAAAGGCUCAUUAAAUCAGUUAUGGUUCCUUAGAUCGUACCCACAUUUACUUGGAUAACUGUGGUAAUUCUAGAGCUAAUACAUGCAAACAGAGUUCCGACCGGAGACGGAAGGAGCGCUUUUAUUAGAACAAAACCAAUCGGUGGCGGUUAUGUGCUGUAUUGCUUGCAUUCACACAUGCCGUUAUCGUAUAAUUUGGUGACUCUGAAUAACUUUUAGCUGAUCGCACGGUCUUGCACCGGCGACGCAUCUUUCAAAUGUCUGCCUUAUCAACUGUCGAUGGUAGGUUCUGCGCCUACCAUGGUUGUAACGGGUAACGGGGAAUCAGGGUUCGAUUCCGGAGAGGGAGCCUGAGAAACGGCUACCACAUCCAAGGAAGGCAGCAGGCGCGCAAAUUACCCACUCCCGGCACGGGGAGGUAGUGACGAAAAAUAACGAUACGGGACUCAUCCGAGGCCCCGUAAUCGGAAUGAGUACACUCUAAAUUCUUUAACGAGAAUCAAUUGGAGGGCAAGUCUGGUGCCAGCAGCCGCGGUAAUUCCAGCUCCAAUAGCGUAUAUUAAAGUUGUUGCGGUUAAAAAGCUCGUAGUCGAAUCUGUGUCCCGCGCCGCUGGUUCAUCGUUCGCGGUGUUAACUGGCGUGCCGCGGGACGUCCUGCCGGUGGGUGCUUAGCUUGUUGUUUCUGUCAUUUAAUUAUGGUAGUAAUGGUGAGUGAUGCCCCAAUUUGAAUCCCGCCGCGGUGCUCUUCAUUGAGUGUCGAGGUGGGCCGGCACGUUUACUUUGAACAAAUUAGAGUGCUUAAAGCAGGCUAAAAUUUUGCCUGAAUAUUGUGUGCAUGGAAUAAUAGAAUAGGACCUCGGUUCUAUUUUGUUGGUUUUCGGAACCCCGAGGUAAUGAUUAAUAGGAACGGAUGGGGGCAUUCGUAUUGCGACGUUAGAGGUGAAAUUCUUGGAUCGUCGCAAGACGGACAGAAGCGAAAGCAUUUGCCAAAAACGCUUUCAUUGAUCAAGAACGAAAGUUAGAGGUUCGAAGGCGAUCAGAUACCGCCCUAGUUCUAACCAUAAACGAUGCCAGCUAGCGAUCCGCCGACGUUCUUCCGAUGACUCGGCGGGCAGCUUCCGGGAAACCAAAGCUUUUGGGUUCCGGGGGAAGUAUGGUUGCAAAGCUGAAACUUAAAGGAAUUGACGGAAGGGCACCACCAGGAGUGGAGCCUGCGGCUUAAUUUGACUCAACACGGGAAACCUCACCAGGCCCGGACACCGGAAGGAUUGACAGAUUGAGAGCUCUUUCUUGAUUCGGUGGGUGGUGGUGCAUGGCCGUUCUUAGUUGGUGGAGCGAUUUGUCUGGUUAAUUCCGAUAACGAACGAGACUCUGGCCUGCUAAAUAGGCGUAAUUCGACAUCCUAAAGGCCCGCUAGUCAUCCGCUGCUGUUUCUAAGUUUUUCUAUUUUCUCCGCUUUAUGUGGUGAUUAUGGUGGCUUGGGCGGUGGUUGUGAUGUCUUUGCGCGGUUUUUACUGUCGGCGUAUAAACUAAUCUUCUUAGAGGGACAGGCGGAAUCUAGCCGCACGAGAUUGAGCAAUAACAGGUCUGUGAUGCCCUUAGAUGUUCUGGGCCGCACGCGCGCUACACUGAAGGAAUCAACGUGUCUUCCCUGGCCGAACGGUCCGGGUAACCCGCUGAACCUCCUUCGUGCUAGGGAUUGGGGCUUGCAAUUGUUCCCCAUAAACGAGGAAUUCCCAGUAAGCGCGAGUCAUAAGCUCGCGUUGAUUACGUCCCUGCCCUUUGUACACACCGCCCGUCGCUACUACCGAUUGAAUGAUUUAGUGAGGUCUUCGGACUGGUACGCGGUGGCGUUUCGACGUCGUCGAUGUUGCUGGGGAGAUGACCAAACUUGAUCAUUUAGAGGAAGUAA
rnacentral:rRNA from 1 species